rnacentral:rRNA from 1 species
UAAGCGAGUGAUGAAAUUUUGAGGCUCAACCUCAAAACUGUUUCUCGAACUGGCAAACUAGAGUAUAUGAGGGGUACCUGGAAUUCCUAGUGUAGGAGUGAAAUCCGUAGAUAUUAGGAGGAACACCAAUGGCGAAGGCAGGGUACUGGCAUAUUACUGACGCUAAGGCACGAAAGCGUGGGGAGCGAACCGGAUUAGAUACCCGGGUAGUCCACGCCGUAAACGAUGGAUGCUG